UCGAGUUUAUUCAACUCCCAACCCUAUGUGAACCUACCUUUAUGUUGCUUCGGCGGAGUCACGCCAGGCGGCCUCUUCGCGAGGCUCCUGGGACAACGUGCCCGCCGGAGACUACAAACUCUUGAUUUUGCGAAAGCAGUAUUAUUCUGAGUGGCCGAAAGGCAAAAAACAAAUGAAUCA
rnacentral:misc_RNA from 1 species